rfam:Zea mays cultivar B73 chromosome 5, whole genome shotgun sequence.
GGCCUGAUGCCACGUCUCUGGUAGCCACGAGCAUUGACCGGAGAUGCUAUGAUUAGGCCGAUACAAAGGUGUUUCAAUGUUUCACAUGUCGAUAGGAACCUGGGGACGGCUUCUAUCUGUCCACAGAGCCGUUUUCUGUGAUUACAGUC